AGAGUUUGAUCCUGGCUCAGGACUAACGCUGGCGGCGUGCCUAACACAUGCAAGUCGAACGGAAAGACUCUGAAAAGCUUGCUUUUCGGAAGUACUCGAGUGGCGGACGGGUGAGUAAUACUUAAAUAAUCUACCCUCUAGACGGGGACAACCUAGGGAAACUUGGGCUAAUACCGGAUAAGAUCUUUGGAUCGCAUGGUCUAAAGAUGAAAUCAUGCAAAUGGCUGGAGGAUGAGUUUGAGUCCGAUUAGUUUGUUGGUAGGGUAAUGGCCUACCAAGACUACAAUCGGUAGCUGGUUUGAGAGGAUGAACAGCCACACUGGGACUGAGAUACGGCCCAGACUCCUACGGGAGGCAGCAGUGAGGAAUUUUGCGCAAUGGGCGAAAGCCUGACGCAGCGACGCCGCGUGAAUGAUGAAGUCCUUCGGGAUGUAAAGUUCUGUCAGUGGGGACAAUGAUGAUGGUACCCACAGAGGAAGCACCGGCUAACUAUGUGCCAGCAGCCGCGGUAAUACAUAGGGUGCAAGCGUUGUCCGGAUUUAUUGGGCGUAAAGUGUUCGCAGGUGGUAAUUUAAGUCAAAUUUUAAAGACUGAGGCUUAACCUUGGUUCGAAUUUGAUACUGAAUUGCUUGAGAUCGGGAGAGGAAGGCGGAACUCACAGUGUAGCGGUGAAAUGCGUAGAUAUUGUGAGGAACACCGGUGGCGAAGGCGGCCUUCUGGACCGAAUCUGACACUCAGGAACGAAAGCGUGGGUAGCAAACAGGAUUAGAUACCCUGGUAGUCCACGCUGUAAACGAUGUACAUUAGGUGUAGAGGGUAUCGACCCCUUCUGUGCCGUAGCUAACGCGUUAAAUGUACCGUCUGGGGAGUACGGUCGCAAGACUAAAACUCAAAGGAAUUGACGGGGGCCCGCACAAGCAGUGGAUCAUGUGGUUUAAUUCGACGAUACGCGAAGAACCUUACCAGAACUUGACAUCUAGGGAAGGUCAUAGAAGUAUGACUGUGCCUUUUUGGAACCCUAUGACAGGUGGUGCAUGGUUGUCGUCAGUUCGUGCCGUGAGGUGUUGGGUUAAGUCCCGCAACGAGCGCAACCCUCGUCCUGUGUUACUACAUUUAGUUGAGGACUCUCAGGAGACUGCCCGUGGAAAACGGGAGGAAGGUGGGGAUGACGUCAAAUCAUCAUGCCCCUUACGUUCUGGGCUACACACAUGAUACAAUGGCCGGUACAAAGGGCAGCGAAACCGCGAGGUGAAGCUAAUCUCAUAAAACCGGUCUCAGUUCGGAUUGUAGGCUGCAACUCGCCUGCAUGAAGCUGGAAUUGCUAGUAAACGCGAAUCAGCACGUCGCGUUGAAUACGUUCCCGGGCCUUGUACACACCGCCCGUCACACCAUGAGAGCCGGAAAUACCCGAAGUCAGUAAGCCAACCGCAAGGAGGCAGCUGCCUAAGGUAGAGCCGGUGAUUGGGGUGAAGUCGUAACAAGGUA
rnacentral:rRNA from 1 species